GGGUAUGUCUGUCUGUGGUGUACCAUAAGUAUAAAACAACAUAGAGGAUGCUUAUACCCAAGGUCGAGGACUCCUACCAGUCCUGGUAACGGGAGGUGGACUAUAGAGGACUACGUAGCUGUCACCUACGCGGCCUACCACGCGAUCCAGCUAACAGGGGAUAUCCACAAGUAAUCUAGGUCUAAGCACCACGCUUACACCUAUACUACAUCUGUCGCCUAUAGUGUCCUAUAGAUUAAAGUACUCAAAAGAGUUAUGAACUAGAACAUACAUGGAUAGUAAUUGCAUAAUGAAAUAGAAGUAGAUUACCAGAGUCAUUCCAUGAGCAAGCUUGAUUAGAGCUUGAUCAUGGCGAAGUACAACCAGAGGAAGAACCGACAGGCUAGCCUCUCCUCUAAUCCUCCCUCGCUCUCCAUCUCGCUACUAUCUAGAUCUACUCUAGUUUAGAGAAGAGAGGAGAGCUCUCAUCUCCAAACCCUAGCUUUUGCUCUGUCUAUGAAUAUUGAAUAGGGAAUGCAGAGGUCUCUUCUCCAGGGGCCAGGAGGCCAGCUUAUGUAGCCCUUCCAAAUGAACGUGGGCCGUCAGAUCAAACUGACCUUAAUCACAUGGUUUUCCUUGAUCCUCAAAGGCGGUGACUGAUUGGUGGAAAAAGUUGGGCGGGCGCCCUACCCCCGGGCCCGCUCGGCCUCCCGUUCGUUCCUAUGGCUUCUGGAGUCUUCUAGAUGAUAGAAAAUUGCCGCACAUGUUAAUAUCUCUAUGUAAACCCGACGUGUGGGCCUUUCUUCCAUGUUUCCUGAUAACCCCCUACAUAAAUUGACAAACACCAAAACUCGUGGAAUUCUGUCAGAUAAAACCCUAAGUCUGGGUGUUGGUUGCAUUUGGAUCCUUUUCUUUGUUUAUUUGAUAAUUAAAUUUGGUACUUAAGGACUGUCAACAUUAAACAAAAUUCUUGGGUAAACAACCUAAAAUAAACCCCUAUAUGGGUGAGUUGAAGGGUGCAUAGAAAUUCUAUGGUUAAAAGCUUUGACCCUAACUCAGUAAUAGUUGCAAAAGAACAAACAACAAACUAGAAAAUAGUGUCAAGUUCAGUUGCCAUACCUAUUUCAUAGAGGAACACCUCAUCCAAAACCGGUGUGUGGACAAAGUUCCUACUCUUCAAUUUGUUGCAGAUGUUAUUUUCUAUCACAUCCCUCAAGGGAAGGUGAGUUACCGUGAGGAGAACCCUUUGUGUAGCUAAAGAAGAUGAUGGCUUAGCAUCGGUGGGAGGAUCGGUGCUCAUGUCGAAGCCAGCCCUUGAUGAGGCAUAGCGGGAUGAGCCCCUCGUGGUCCUUCCCGAGACCUUGUUGGUGAUUCCCUUUGCCCAGCUCUUCAUCUUGUAAUAAAUUCUCAUAGAAAAAAACAACACUAGUGCAAGGGGGUUAGUCAAAGGUUAGUGGUUAGCCAUCCAGAGGUCAAUCGUUCUUUCAAGAUUAAGUCUAGUUGCUAGUUUGAAUUUCUACAGAACCUCCCCUUGAUUUUAGAUUUCUUGAUCCCUAGUUGGACAGCACAUCCACUAAGUUCUCUCUAUGAAUCCUUGCAGCACUACCCCUUUUUCACUAGCUCUUGAGCUCUUGCUCACUCUCCCAAAUUUCUUUCCUCUUCUCUACUCUUUCUAAGCUCUCAUUCUCUCCAAACUCUCUCUGGACUCCUGGAGGUCGAGAGCCCAAAGUUUGUCUACUGAAAUGGCUUGUGUGUGGUGU
rnacentral:lncRNA from 1 species